UACGUAGGUGGCAAGCGUUGUCCGGAUUUAUUGGGUUUAAAGGGUGCGUAGGCGGCCUAUUAAGUCAGUGCUGAAAUUUCCCGGCUUAACCGGGAGGGUGGCAUUGAUACUGAUGGGCUAGAGUACAGAUGAGGUAGGCGGAAUUGACGGUGUAGCGGUGAAAUGCUUAGAUAUCGUCAAGAACACCGAUAGCGAAGGCAGCUUACUAGGCUGUAACUGACGCUGAUGCACGAAAGUGUGGGGAUCAAACAGG
rnacentral:rRNA from 1 species